rnacentral:rRNA from 1 species
UUAAGAUACUAAGAGCAUACGGUGGAUGCCUUGGCGAUAUCUGCCGACGAAGGACGUGACAAGCUGCGAAAAGCUGCGGAGAGAUGCAAAUAAUCGGCGACCCGCAGACAUCCGAAUGGAGAAAUCCGGCUGUGAUGAUGCACAGCCAUCCAUGCCCAAGAGCAUGAGAAGGGAACCGGGCGAACUGAAACAUCUAAGUAACCCGAGGAAAAGAAAUCAAACGAGAUACCCCAAGUAGCGGCGAGCGAACAGGGAAGAAGCCCAAACCGGUGAAGGAAACUUUACCGGGGUUGAGGACCAUCAGACCCGCAAAGAACCUUAGCCGAAACUGUUGGGAAACAGUGCCGAAGACAGUGAAAGCCUGGUAGGCGAAAAAGAGAAACGCGGAGAUGGCACCAGAGUACCGCGGGACACGAGAAAUCCCGUGGGAAGCCGGGGGGACCACCCUCCAAGGCAAAACACAGAUAUCGACCGAUAGCGCAUAGUACCAUGAGGGAAAGGUGAAAAGCACCCCGGGAGGGGAAUGAAAGAGAACCUGAAACCGUAUGUUUACAAGCAGUCGGAGACCGCUUAAUAAUAAGGUCGACGGCGUGCCUAUUGAAGAAUGAACCGGCGAGUUACGAAGCCUGGCAAGGUUAAGCAGGAAAUGCGGAGCCGAAGCGAAAGCGAGUCUUAAGAGGGCGCAAGUCAGGAAGCGUAGACCCGAAACCACAGUGAUCUACCCAUGUCCAGGUUGAAACACAGGUAAAAAUGUGUGGAGGACCGAACCUAUAUCCGUUGAAAAGGGUUAGGAUGAGGUGUGGGUAGGGGUGAAAUUCCAAUCGAACGUGGAGAUAGCUGGUUCUCCCCGAAAUAGCUUUAGGGCUAGCCUCAGGGAAAAGAUUGCAGGCGGUAGAGCACUGAUCAGGAGAGGGACCUACCCGGUUACCAAACCCAGUCAAACUCCGAAUGGCUGCAAUCAUACCUGGGAGUCAGACUGCGACUAAUAAGGGCCGCAGUCAAAAGGGAAACAGCCCAGACCAUCAGCUAAGGUCCCCAAUGCCGUGCUAAGUGGCGAAGGAUGUGGCAUUUCAUAAACAACCAGGAUGUUGGCUCAGAAGCAGCCACCAUUUAAAGAGUGCGUAAUAGCUCACUGGUCGAGAGACGCUGCGCCGAAAAUGUCCGGGGCUCAAGCACGGAACCGAAGCUAUGGCAUGAUAGCAAUAUCAUGGGUAGGGGAGCGUUCUUAUAAGGAAGAAGCAUGACCGGAAGGACAUGUGGACAAAUAAGAAGUGAGAAUGCCGGUAUGAGUAUCGAAAAGAAAGGUGAGAAUCCUUUCCACCGAAAGCCCGAGGGUUCCUGAGCAACGAUCGUCGACUCAGGGUAAGUCGGGACCUAAGCCGAGGCGAAAAGCGUAGGCGAUGGACAACAGGUUGAAAUUCCUGUACCGGAUCAAGUCGAUUGAGCGAAGGAGCGACGCAGGAGGGCACAUGAUCGCGCGGCUGGAAGAGCGCGUCCAAGUGCGUAUGUUGCAGCAGAGGAAAACCCCUGCGGCUGAAAGCAGAGACAUGAUGGGGAGUUAAAGGAAACUUUGACGAACUCAUGAAUCCCACACUGCCAAGAAAAACUUCUAGCGAGACAAGAUCCGCCCGUACCGUAAACCGACACAGGUAGGCGGGGAGAGAAUCCUAAGGUGCGCGGGAAAACCCUCGUUAAGGAACUCGGCAAAUUGCAUCCGUAACCUAGGGAGAAGGAUGGCCCCCGGUCAGUGAAGAGCAGAAACGCUCAGAGCUAAAAGGGGCGGCAGAAAAGAGGCCCAAGCAACUGUUUACCAAAAACACAGGUGCCUGCGAAAGCGAAAGCUGAAGUAUAGGUGCUGACGCCUGCCCGGUGCCGGAAGGUUAAGGAGAGAAGUUAGCGAAAGCGAAGCAUCGAACUGAAGCCCCGGUGAACGGCGGCCGUAACUAUAACGGUCCUAAGGUAGCGAAAUUCCUUGUCGGGUAAGUUCCGACCCGCAUGAAAGGCGUAAUGAUUUGGGCACUGUCUCAACGAGGGGCCCGGUGAAAUUGAAAUACCUGUGAAGAUGCAGGUUACCCGCGACUGGACAGAAAGACCCCAUGGAGCUUCACUGCAGCUUGAGAUUGAAUCCCGGUGACAGAUGCACAGGAUAGGUGGGAGGCGCCGAAGCAUUGCCCUAGGGCGGUGCGGAGCCGAUGUUGGGAUACCACCCUUCUGUUGCUGAGAUUCUAACGCGAGGAGUAACGACCCUGCGGACCCUCUCAGGCAGGCGGUUUGACUGGGGCGGUCGCCUCCGAAAGA